UACGUAGGGUGCAAGCGUUGUCCGGAAUUAUUGGGCGUAAAGAGCUCGUAGGCGGUCUGUCGCGUCGGCUGUGAAAUCCCGGAGCUCAACCCCGGGCGUGCAGUGGAUACGGGCAGGCUGGAGGCAGGCAGGGGAGAACGGAAUUCCCGGUGUAGCGGUGAAAUGCGCAGAUAUCGGGAGGAACACCGGUGGCGAAGGCGGUUCUCUGGGCCUGUACUGACGCUGAGGAGCGAAAGCGUGGGGAGCAAACAGG
rnacentral:rRNA from 1 species